AACGAACGCUGGCGGCAUGCCUAACACAUGCAAGUCGAACGGGAUCCAGGCUUCGGCCUGGUGAGAGUGGCGGACGGGUGAGUAACACGUGGGAACCUGCCUUUUGGUUCGGGAUAACCGCGGGAAACUGCGGCUAAUACCGGAUGCUCCCGAGAGGGGAAAGAUUUAUCGCCAGAAGAGGGGCCCGCGUCCGAUUAGGUAGUUGGUGAGGUAAUGGCCCACCAAGCCGACGAUCGGUAGCUGGUCUGAGAGGAUGAUCAGCCACACUGGGACUGAGAUACGGCCCAGACUCCUACGGGAGGCAGCAGUGGGGAAUAUUGGACAAUGGGGCAACCCUGAUCCAGCAAUGCCGCGUGAGUGAUGAAGGCCUUAGGGUUGUAAAGCUCUUUUGCCAGGGAAGAUGAUGACUGUACCUGGAGAAUAAGCCCCGGCUAACUUCGUGCCAGCAGCCGCGGUAAU
rnacentral:rRNA from 1 species